GAUGAAGAACGCAGCGAACUGCGAUAAGUAAUGUGAAUUGCAGAAUUCAGUGAAUCAUCGAGUCUUUGAACGCACAUUGCGCCCCCUGGCAUUCCGGGGGGCAUGCCUGUCCGAGCGUCAUUGCUGCCCUUCAAGCCCGGCUUGUGUGUUGGGUCGUCGUCCCCCCCGGGGGACGGGCCCGAAAGGCAGCGGCGGCACCGCGUCCGGUCCUCGAGCGUAUGGGGCUUUGUCACCCGCUCGAUUAGGGCCGGCCGGGCGCCAGCCGGCGUCUCCAACCUUCUAUUUUACCAGGUUGACCUCGGAUCAGGUAGGGAUACCCGCUGAACUUAAGCACAUCAAUAAGCGGAGGA
rnacentral:misc_RNA from 1 species